AGCGCAACCCUUGUCCUCAGUAGCCAGCAGGCAAUAGCUGGGCANUCUGGGGAGNCCGCCAGGGACAANCCUGGAGGAAGACGGGGAUGACGUCAAAUCAUCAUGCCCCUUANGAUAUUGGACUACACACGUGCUACAAUGNCGUCCGGACAGAGGGAAGCGAGCCCGUCAAGGGGGANGCGAAUCCCAAAAANCGGCGUCCCAGUUNGGANUGAAGGCUGCAACCCGCCUUCUCGAAGCUGGAAUCGCUAGUAAUCGCGGAUCAGANNCGCCGCGGUGAAUACGUUCCCGGGUGNUUGUACACACCGCCCGUCACACCAUGGGAGUNUGCAACACCCGAAGUCAGUGACCCAACCGCAAGGGGGGANCUGCCGAAUGGUGGGAUCCUGAUAAUCUGGUGGUGUAAGUCGUAACAAGGUAUCCG
rnacentral:rRNA from 1 species